rnacentral:rRNA from 1 species
UACGUAGGGGGCAAGCGUUGUCCGGAAUCAUUGGGCGUAAAGCGCGUGUAGGCGGCCUGACAAGUCUGCUGUGAAAACUCGAGGCUCAACCUCGAGAUGUCGGCGGAAACUGUCUGGCUAGAGUCCGGAAGAGGAGAGUGGAAUUCCUGGUGUAGCGGUGAAAUGCGCAGAUAUCAGGAAGAACACCUAUGGCGAAGGCAGCUCUCUGGGACGGUACUGACGCUGAGACGCGAAAGCGUGGGGAGCGAACAGG